GACGAACGCUGGCGGCGUGCCUAAUACAUGCAAGUCGAACGAACAGCUGUGGAACUUUCUUUUCUGACGUUAUCGUCGCACGGGGGAGUAUAACGCGUAUAACCUCUCUAUUUCACUGGGAGACCACCGGGAAACCGGAGUUAAUACCCGAUAAUCUAUCUAACCGCAUGGUUCAGUAUUGAAAGACGGUUUUCUCUUCAUUUAUACAUUCAUCCGGGCCGCAUUAGCUAGUUGGUAAGGUAACGGCUUACCAAGGCAACGAUGCGUGGCCGAACUGAGAGGGUGAUCGGCCACACUGGAACUGAGACACGGUCCAGACUCCUACGGGAGGCAGCAGUAGGGAAUCUUCCGCAAUGGGCGAAAGCCUGACGGAGCAACGCCGCGUGAGUGAUGAAGGUCUUCGGAUCGUAAAACUCUGUUAUUAGGGAAGAACAAAUGUGUAAGUAACUAUGCACGUCUUGACGGUACCUAAUCAGAAAGCCACGGCUAACUACGUG
rnacentral:rRNA from 1 species